CCUGGUUGAUCCUGCCAGUAGUCAUAUGCUUGUCUAAAAGAUUAAGCCAUGCAUGUUUAAGUAUAGAGAAUUUUAUGCUCGAAACUGCGGACGGCUCAUUAAAUCAGUUAUAAUCUACUUGAACGUAUUCUCUACAUGGAUAACUGUAGUAAUUCUAGAGCUAAUACAUGCAAAAAAUCCCGACAGUUUACUGAAGGGAUGUAUUUAUUAGGUACAAAACCAAUGCUGGCCUUACGGUCAGGAUUUUUUGGUGAUUCAUGAUAACUAAACGAAGCGCAUGACCUCGAGUCGGCGCUGUUACAAACGAGUUUCUGCCCUAUCAACUUUCGAUGGUAGUAUAGAGGACUACCAUGGUGUUAACGGGUAACGGGGAAUUAGGGUUCUAUUCCGGAGAGGGGGCCUGAGAAAUGGCCACCACUUCCAAGGAAGGCAGCAGGCGCGCAAAUUACCCAAUCUCAAUUCGAGGAGGUAGUGACAAGAAAUACCAUUGAAGGACACUACGUGUCGUUUAUUUGGAAUGAGUACAAUUUAAACACCUUAACGAGGAUCAAUUGGAGGGCAAGUCUGGUGCCAGCAGCCGCGGUAAUUCCAGCUCCAAUAGUGUAUAUUAUUAUUGUUGUAGUUAAAAAGCUCGUAGUUGGAUUUCGGAAUGCGGAAGUCAAAGCCCAUCUAAAUGGUGUGGCUCGACAUCCGCUUCCUGUCUUUGGGUAAUAGCAGUCUUUCGGGAUUUGUUGUUCCUAAUUGUUUACCUUGAAUAAAUAUGAGCGUUCAAAGCAGGUAUAUUUGCCUUGAAAUUUGCAGCACGGGAUAAUAGAAUAGGAUUUCGGCCUUAUUUUGUUGGUUUCUAAAGCUGAGAUAAUGAUUAAGAGGGACAGUUGGGGUCGCUCGUAUUGAGUUGUCAGAGGUGAAAUUCUAGGAUUGACUCAAGACGAACUGGUGCGAAAGCGUUCGACAAGGAUGUUUUCAUUAAUCAAGAACGAAAGUUGGGGGAUCGAAGAUGAUCAGAUACCGUCGUAGUCCUAACCAUAAACUAUGUGGACCAAGGAUCCGAAGAUGUUACAUGGAUGACUCCUCGGGCACUUUGUGAAAAUCAGAGUAUUUGCAUUCCGGGGGGAGUAUGGCCGCAAGACUGAAACUUAAAGGAAUUGACGGAAGGGCACCACCAGGAGUGGAAUCUGCGGCUUAAUUUGACCCAACACGGGGAAACUCACCAGGUCCGGACACAGUAAGGAUUGACAGAUUGAGAGCUCUUUCUUGAUUCUGUGGGUGGUGGUGCAUGGCCGUUUUUAGUUGGUGGAUUGAUUUGUCUUGUUAAUUCAGAUAACGAGCGAGACCUCAUCCUGCUAAUUAGUGAUGCAAACUUGGUUGUCAUAAGAUUCGUUCUGGGGUAGCCUGUAUGGUUUGUACGCAACUUCUUAGAGGGACUCUCGGUAUUUUUAGCCGAUGGAAGUUUGAGGCAAAAACAGGUCUGUGAUGCCCUUAGAUGUCCUGGGCUGCACGCGCGUUACACUGGCAGUUGCAACGAGUUAUUCUCCUUCUCCGAAGGGAGUGGGUAAACUUUUCAACGACUGCCGUGAUUGGGAUUGAGCC
rnacentral:rRNA from 1 species